rnacentral:lncRNA from 1 species
AGCUGAAUGGUUUGGGGAUUUGGUAUCAGCUGGGAAAAGUCAUUAAGUCACAGGAUACAGUGCACAACACCCCCUCUACCUCUGGUGUUGCCAGAAAAUUCCCAGAGUCUCCGGCCUCCAGUCCUACUAAAAAGAACAUGGUCAGGCCAGACUAUGAACACCAAAUCUACAACAUCUACACCAAAUCAGCUAUGGAUGAUAUACCCUUUAUGAUCUACAAAAAAUCUACCUCCACAUCCAGAGAUGAAAUAGAUCCAGUCCAUUUUUUCAACAUCACCAUCAAAUCACCACAAGAGAUUGAAGAUGAAUACAACUAUUGUUUCAACACUGAACACAGCGCUGCAGCCUUCACAUGGACUCAGUGACUUUAGAGAGUGGAGAUUCACCAUUAACACUGGUAUAAGGAAUCAAACAGUGUAGUGAGACUAACUAACUAAUCUAACUGAGAAUCCAAAGAUCAGGGUAUAUACAUACUAUAUCUUUCUUCUUCCUGGUCUUAUUGGGAACCGUUUUCUUUUCAGAAAACUUCCCUCCAUCCUUGUGCCAUAUAAAGACUUUACAUGAUCAACUCAAAUGGAUAAAAAGUCCUCUCUUGCAUAAUCAGGUUCAUUUUUAAUUUAAUUUUUACAUUAUAAAUGUUCUCAGGGAG